GACGAACGCUGGCGGCGUGCUUAACACAUGCAAGUCGAACGAUGAAGCCGGAUCUUGCUCUGGUGAAUUAGUGGCGAACGGGUGAGUAACACGUGAGUAACCUGCCCUUGACUCUGGGAUAACUGCGGGAAACUGUAGCUAAUACCGGAUACGACCCUCGGAGGCAUCUCCUGGGGGUGGAAAGAAUUUCGGUCAAGGAUGGACUCGCGGCCUAUCAGCUAGUUGGUGAGGUAACGGCUCACCAAGGCGACGACGGGUAGCCGGCCUGAGAGGGUGACCGGCCACACUGGGACUGAGACACGGCCCAGACUCCUACGGGAGGCAGCAGUGGGGAAUAUUGCACAAUGGGCGCAAGCCUGAUGCAGCAACGCCGCGUGAGGAUGACGGCCUUCGGGUUGUAAACCUCUUUUAGCAGGGAAGAAGCGAAAGUGACGGUACCUGCAGAAAAAGCACCGGCUAACUACGUGCCAGCCGCCGCGGUAA
rnacentral:rRNA from 1 species